rnacentral:lncRNA from 1 species
CUGAGUCGUGCCAAAGUAAGAAUCAACUAACGGUUCACCCCCUCUAUCUCAACUUCAAAUUCAUCAGAAUUGAAAAACAUAUAGAUAUUUUGUCUGUUCAAAUAUAUCACUAUAUAUAGCAGGCAAGCCUUUGUACAGCACUGCCGCCACUAUGGCCACCUUCUCGAUCCCAGUUACAAUCCCACUAGAGAUUCCAAAAGCCCAUUUCCGAAGGAAAUUAAAACAAAAAGGAGAUUUCGAUUUGUUGCCCACCUGUGGUGCCAUUUCCAGUUACUGCCCUGUAUGAACAAAGAUAUUCCCAGGCCCUUCCAUCUUACACCCAUUAGGAUAGGGCAACAUCUAACAACUUCACGAAACUAGACACAGCCUCAAGCCUUUGCCACCUUGACUGUCUCGCAGGGCAGAGGCUGCAAUGCCGAAAGAAAUAUUAUUCAGAAAAAAUGUGCAAAGAGAAAGAAAUUCUUCGCAGUAUUGAUGAUGGUCUAAAAAUAUUCUGUACAGCACUCCUGGCACAUCCUUGUCAUCCAAAGGACAUUAAGUGGCACACUGAAUACAAAAUACUGCAGCUACAUUGAGGUUUCCUAGCAGGAAUUUAUGGUGCGUGUGAAUGCAGAUGAAGGCAGCUUAAAUAACGCGCAUAAAUGGAGGACAGGAAUUUUUGGAGCAUGGUUCCACGCGCACCCGUUAGAACAGUAAAUUCAAAAGAAAAAAAAACUAGGAAAAAAAUAAAAACUGAUUUUUUUUUUGUAACAUACAUAGUCUACCGUAUACUCGUGUAUGAAGUUUCACGAAGAAAUGGCGUCCGUCGUAUUCUAGGCAAAAAUGACAAAAUCCAAGCUAUACUAAGAAACACAGUUUGAUGAAUGGCAAGGCCCUGAGUGCAUUUUCUUCAAUAAGGAUACCACGGGUGUCAUUACUUCACGAAACUUGGCACAUGAGCAGAAUAGUCGAUCAAGUUCGAUACCCCAAAAUUUUAGAAUUUUUUAAAAAAAAUUCUAGUGUGUGUGUUUUUUUUCUGAUUUUACUAUUCAUGUGGCAUAAAUGGAGCACUGUGUUAUCUUGUGGGCAGGACUUGAAUGGGGGGUGGGGGUGGGAUGGAGACCACUCUUGCUUGAAUCAAUGAAGAAAGAUGGACUACUCGUACCAGCCAGGCCAGCUACGAGUUUACAGACACACGCCAAUCUCAAGAAACUGGGCUCGUAAGAAGCGUAUUAAUGCCGGCUUGUGCAGGCAUUCAGUUCAGCCCAGCUUGGACUCAGAGGCGUGCAUUUCCAAGUGAUGCUGAGCCGGGCUGUGCCAAGUUAAGGCUCGUUUCAUUGAAGCUGCUGUACUGGAAGAUGCCAAAUCUUUAAUGGGAGAGCAGUCAUCAUCUAGUAGCACUUGAUUGGACUUGUACUUCAAACUCUAUUAAGAGGGGAAUUCCUCCAUUGAAUCUGCCCAGAACCACAAUAAUGUACUCCCUCCCUUCCUAAAUGUAAGUCUUUGUAGAGAUUUCACUGUAAACUGCAUACGGAUGUAUAUAGAUGCAUUUUAAGUUUAGAUUCAUUUAUUUUGCUCCGUAUGUAGUCCAUCUAGUGAAAUCUCUACAAAGACUUAUGUUUAAGAACGGAGGAAGUAUACUACUCUAAGACACCGACGAGACAACAAUCUAUGCUCCUAUUUAUCUUUCUUUCUUUAAUAUCUCCUCAUGGAGGCAAUGAGACGCUUCAUUCCGCGACAUAUUAUCAGUAUUCAGAUUAUCUCGCAUUUUAUGGGCGUAUAGUACACCACAGUUGCCCUAAAGCAGUUAGGAGUCAUGUGCUAUGAAAUGCUGAGAUUACAGAACGGUUGUACACAUACUGUACUGCCCUAAACCAGUUAGGAGUCAUGUGCUAUGAAAUGCUUUACUAAAUGCCCAUCAAAGCAGUGGUAUUCACUACUCAGCCAUGGGCCUAAAGUCCUACAGAGAAACAUAGAUAUAUGAGCUCCUUGCGUCCGAUUCCUAACAUUUGAAUGCUGUGAAGUGAGAACCCAGAUUUUCCCAUAGCAAAUCAAAAUCAAGCUAAAAAUUGGUUGUGGAUGGCUAAUACGCUAAAAAAAAUUAUGCAAAUGUCUGGCUUUAACCUCCAUUACGAGUAUAAACAAGCUGGACUCUAGUAAAGGAUAGCAUAACAGAAACAAACUUGCCCAUACCUCACGAAUAUUUACCUACGGCAGUCACUGUUCUGUACAGGAACACACAUAACUGAGCAAGCUUGGUCUGCUGCUAACUUGCAAUGACAGACUGAGCCCUUAGCGCCAGUAGAACUGUUGCUGACUGUCGGCAGCUCUUGAAAAAAUACAGCUGAAGACAGACAGCCCAUGCUUACUGCACUGUAAGAUUCCAAACCCAACUUUUGGGUCGUCCACAGAUUGCCGAC